rnacentral:lncRNA from 1 species
AAAACAUUUGCACAACAGUGUUCCAUGUUGGUUACUGAAUGUCUGACAGUUCGGUUUGACAAAACAACAUGAGGACAUUUCUAAAAUGUAUGAAAGAAUUAAGACUUAGUUUCAUAUUUUAGUCAACAAAUCUCCAAAGCAUUCAAACAGGCACACUAUUUAGAAAAAAAAAGCUGUUUUUAAUUAUUAUUGUUCUCACGCUCAAAUGUACAAAGGAAAUCAAUCAGUUAGAUCAGAUGUUGAGUACCGGUCCGCAUCCCCUGUAGUAGCUCUGGUCCAGGAGACAAGGGGAGCUGAACACUGAUAUAAUGCACAAUCUGAAGUGGCACCCUAUUCCCUAUAUAGUGCACCAGUAUAGAAGCAGAUUGUGGUGGAUAAUGGUACAGUAUGGAUGAUGCUGGACUGAGCAGUCGGUUAUAUUUGGUGAUUCUUCCUGAUUGCCUUAAAUCUGACGGAGAGCCAUUCCAGCUGGCAUCAGUGUGUGUGUGUGUGUGUGUGUGUGCGUACUAGAGCUGGGACGAUAAACCCAAAAUUACAGACACCGCCUUCCUCAUACCAAAUCAUUUUGCAUACAUUUUGGGUUAUUUUGCUACACAACGUUCCUGUGGAUUGUUCUAGAACCAUUAUGUGGUCAACAGUAAUAGCCUAUGCAUUAUGUUGUUUCCUCCUAUGAAAGUCUCUGCCUGUACCUCGGGGCUGGCGCCAGGAUGAAUCAGUUGGACUGGCAUUUUAUUUCCAUAACGAGGCACUUAUGUUUUUCUUCACGGGACCUCCUGUGUGUAAAGACAUGUCAUUUAAUUAACUAUCAAAAUGUAUUACCUUUUAAUGUGGCAUGAACACAUCAUGACUGGUUUUCAUCUGAUUGUCAAACAAAUCACUUCAUUAAGUAGGUUAGCCUUGAUCUUAAUGCUUGUGGGUCACUUGAUAUUCUAUGAGAUUAUAAUGUUGGUCAAAAGGGAAAUAAAAGUAUGAGGGGCGAACGAAACUCUACCGGUGUCCUAGCUAGCUACCAACCAGUGUUACUGCUGCCUACCGGUGUCCUAGCUAGCUACCAACCAGUGUUACUGCUGCCUACCGGUGUCCUAGCGAGCUACCAACCAGUGUUACUGCUGCCUACCGGUGUCCUAGCGAGCUAGCACAGUGUCCUUCGCUCCCGCCUGCCCUCGACGUCGUUAACAGAACUGCGAGAAAGCAGUGUCCGACAAGCGAGGGCGAAGGUGGGGUUUAUCGGAGGUUGGCAUCCAACGUUAAGGUUCAUUACCGCCCCCCUACUGAACUGGCUCACCCCUGCCUCCCGCCUGUGUAUCACUGUCCUAACUUAAUCAUGGACCAAUAGAACUAUAAAGAGGGGUUCCUGCAGAUGAAGGAAUGACCACAUGCAGUAAUGCCCAGAAUUGCGAGUCGCAAUUACACCCUUCUCGUGGAGUGCGCGAUUUGCAGUGAAUAGACCUACAUCAAGUAGCCUAGGCCUGGAGCUGGGACGUUUCUGUAGGACAUUAGCCUACAUUUACUGAUCAAUUAAUCAAUUAGCAUACAUGGUGACCUAGCAACAAUAUCAUAUCUACAGUUCGUAGUCUAGCUCAGUGUUUUGAGGUCCUCAGGUGGUGAAUCAUAUAGCCUAGAGGACAAUAUGCACAAAGAUGUCAGCCAAUUCUCUGAAGAGGCCAAAAUAAAUGUGAUCAUUGUGGAUCCUUUUGACAGGUUGCACAUCAACCAUACCUUCCCUGGAUAUGUUGGAUGAAAUAUCUUACUUUUAGAAUCGUAGGCUACCGUCUCAGUUGUCUUACCUGGCCCUGGAAACACGUCUAGAGCCCUGCUGCUGCUUUACAUUUAAACAUGUGUCAUUUAGCAGACGCUGCUCUUCGCUGAUGUAAAGUAACUAACCAUUAAACACAGUUACAUUCAUCACGAUAGGACUUUUUGUCCAUGUGGCCCAGCUUUAGCAUACCUCCACUCAAAAUAACUGAUUUAACAAUAUUGCAACAAAUAAAAAAAGGAAAUGUAUCACAAUAUGGAUUUUUUUGUCUCCAUAUCGUCCAGCUCUAGCGUGUGCGGUAAGGUAUGCGUGUGUGUGUGUGUGUGUGUGUGUGUGUGUGUGUGUGUCAGUCCUGCUGCGUGAUCAUCUUCAGCAUCUGCAGUGCCAUGGGUCCCUGGUCGGAGGGGAUCUGAUAACAGAGAGAGAGCAAUGAAUCAUGGGAGUGCAAGUCAAAAGGAUACUACGGGAGGAUCUCAAUUGCAUGCCCUUUCCCCUGGUCUCCUUCUCAAAACCCAUUGGAUGAGAAAGCCAGAGGCCCCUCCCUUCUUAUCUUCUCCAACCGGCUUUGAGAAGGAGAGAGAACGCGAAGAGUACGCAAUUGAGAUAUUCCCAAUGAAACGCCAUAAUGACUGCAUACUGGGGUUCAAUCUUCUGCAUCACCUUCCUACUCCAACACUAGAGUUACGUCCCAAUAAUCUCUCCCUCCUGAAGUGUACACUCAUUCACUACUCUCCUCAAAUGUAAAAACAAUGGAUUUAUGUAGGCAUGGGCUAUAGAGGAUGUUUCCAUAUACCAGUCAUUUUGUUUCAAAUCCAUGAAGGGAAGUAAACAAGGUCGCACUUUGGGAGAAAGGAGAGAUCAAUAUUACUGUACCACCUGUGAUGAUUGACCC